rnacentral:sRNA from 1 species
AGUCUUAACUUAAGGCUUAAAACCAAAAUAUGGCGUAUUUCCAAUGACAAAAUAUGAAUAGAAUUUCUGUGAUGUGGUAACUAAAAUGUCCAGCAAAGUACCUCACCCAGAAGAAGCUGAGGCUGAGCCUUGCAUCAAAAUUGUCUUUGUUAUACAGGAACUUAAUACUGAGCAUUUGGCAGAUUGUGUUUCAACAGUAGAGAUAGGUGGACUGAAAUAUGACCUACAGAAUUUUUUUCAGAUGAAAGCAACAGAACAAGUUUGGACCUACCAACAUAAGAUAUUGGAUGAUAAAAAAACUUUGACUCAUUAUGGUAUUGAUAUAUAUUGCCCGGAACCAAUUCAGAUAGAAGUCUCCAAGUUCAAAAGCUAAUAGAGAGUUAACCUCUGGAGGAGUUCAAAUUAUGUCAAGUCCAUAUACACAGAGGAUAGAGUUCAAAUCCUGUUCAAGUUCAAUUACAGAGGAUAGAGUUAAAAUCCUGUUCAAGUUCACUCUCAGAGGAUAGAGUUCAAAUUCUAUUCAAGUUCACUCACAGAGGAUAGAGUUUUAGCUUGUUUAAGUUCACACACAUUGACUUGUAUAUCAGGCAAUAUUUAAGUUGUCUUUAAUGUUGGAUAUAAUGAUGCUGGUGUAAUAUUGGACCUACUCUAAUAGUUUUUUCUUGGAAACCUAUUUAAUAGAAAAUUUUAAGAAAAGCUAGAUGAGUGAAAACCUAUCAUGACUUAAGGGAAACUUUUUUUUAAUCUUUCAUAGAUAAAAAAAACAACCUUUGUUCCCUAUUUUUAACUCAACUCUAAGUUCUAAUGGCGAGUUUUCCUUAAAAAAAA